GACCGCGUAGCUCAGUUGGAAGAGCAUUGGGCUAGUAUUCCAAAGGUCGUUCGUUCGAAUCCCACCUUGGCCG